rnacentral:rRNA from 1 species
GAUGAACGCUGGCGGCGUGCCUAAUACAUGCAAGUCGAGCGAACAGACGAGGAGCUUGCUCCUCUGACGUUAGCGGCGGACGGGUGAGUAACACGUGGAUAACCUACCUAUAAGACUGGGAUAACUUCGGGAAACCGGAGCUAAUGCCGGAUAAUAUAUUGAACCACAUGGUUCAAUAGUGAAAGACGGUUUUGCUGUCACUUAUAGAUGGAUCCGCGCCGCAUUAGCUAGUUGGUAAGGUAACGGCUUACCAAGGCGACGAUGCGUAGCCGACCUGAGAGGGUGAUCGGCCACACUGGAACUGGGACACGGUCCAGACGCCUACGGGAGGCAGCAGUAGGGAAUCUUCCGCAAUGGGCGAAAGCCUGACGGAGCAACGCCGCGUGAGUGAUGAAGGUCUUCGGAUCGUGAAACUCUGUUAUUAGGGAAGAACAAAUGUGUAAGUAACUAUGCACGUCUUGACGGUACCUAAUCAGAAAGCCACGGCUAACUACGUG